GAUCCUGGCUCAGAUUGAACGCUGGCGGCAGGCUUAACACAUGCAAGUCGAACGGUAGCAGGUAAGUACUUGUACUUAUGCUGACGAGUGGCGGACGGGUGAGUAAUGCUUGGGGAUCUGGCUUAUGGAGGGGGAUAACGACGGGGAAACUGUCGCUAAUACCGCGUAGAAUCGAGAGAUGAAAGUGUGGGACCUUCGGGCCACAUGCCAUAGGAUGAACCCAAGUGGGAUUAGGUAGUUGGUAGGGUAA
rnacentral:rRNA from 1 species